UUUCUAUUUCCUUUGUUCAGUUAUGGUCCGAUUCGCGGACUUCGCUUUCUCCGGUUCCUUGAGAUAUCGGAGCCUCUAGAGGGUUCAAAUCGAGCAGUUCUGUUAGGAUCUCCAUUGACGCUCGACUGUUUGAAGCUCGCUAUACAGUUAUUGGCAGCGAUACUGAGUGGGAGAGAGUGAGUAAGGUGAGAAUUAUUUACUCUCCUAUUCAAGAGGAAGUUGCUUGCAGUUGCUGAUAUAUUCUGGUAGGAGGAAGUUCCUUUUACAGACAUGCCUUCUCUUCAGCUCCUGCAUUUAACCGAGCAUGGGCGAAGUCUUAUGGUUUCAAGAAGGAAAACUCUACUGGUUGCCGCUGGUAUCUUAGUGGCUGGGGGAACUGCUGCAUAUGUGCAGUCACGAUUUAGCAGUAAGAAGAUUGAUUCAAUUCAUCAUUACAAUGGGCUUGGAGAUGAUAAAGAAAAAUCAGAGAAGGCAGUUUCGGAUGAUAAUAAUAGAAAGAAAACUAUGCAAAAGAGAGGAGGAAUAAAGUCUCUUCAAGUCUUAGCUUCAAUUCUUCUAUCUAAGAUGGGCAAAAUGGGUGCAAAGGACCUUUUGGCUUUAGUGUCCAUAGUGGUGUUAAGAACUGCUUUGAGCAACAGAUUAGCCAAGGUUCAAGGAUUUCUAUUUCGUGCUGCUUUUCUCCGACGUGUGCCAUUAUUUUUCAGGCUGAUAUCAGAAAACAUUUUGUUAUGUUUCCUUCUGUCAACUAUGCAUUCUACAUCAAAAUACAUUACAGGGACCUUGAGUCUUCGUUUCAGAAAAAUAUUGACUAAACUUAUCCAUGAAGAUUAUUUUGAGAACAUGGCGUACUAUAAAAUAUCACAUGUUGAUGGUCGGAUUACUAAUCCCGAACAAAGAAUUGCUAGUGAUGUACCAAAGUUCUGUUCAGAGUUAAGUGAGCUUGUACAGGAUGAGUUGACAGCAGUUACUGAUGGUCUGCUUUAUACUUGGAGGUUGUGUUCAUAUGCCAGUCCAAAAUAUCUUUUAUGGAUUUUGGCAUAUGUUUUUGGAGCGGGAGCAGCUAUUAGAAAUUUCUCUCCUCCUUUUGGGAAAUUAAUGUCCAGAGAGCAACAAUUGGAAGGGGAUUAUCGGCAGCUUCAUUCACGGUUAAGGACCCAUGCAGAAAGUAUAGCCUUUUAUGGUGGAGAAAGUAUAGAAGAAUAUCACAUUCAGCAAAAGUUUAAGAAUCUUAUAAGGCACAUGAGAAUUGUUCUACACGACCAUUGGUGGUUUGGAAUGAUUCAGGACUUCUUAGUAAAGUAUUGUGGUGCUACUGUUGCUGUGAUAUUGAUUAUUGAACCCUUCUUUGCUGGCCAUCUUCGACCUGACUCGUCAACUUUAGGGCGAGCAGAAAUGUUAAGCAAUCUACGGUAUCACACCAGUGUCAUAAUAUCACUAUUCCAAGCUCUUGGAACUAUUUCUGUAAGUUCAAGGAGGCUUAACCGUCUCAGUGGAUAUGCAGACCGCAUACAUGAAUUAAUGGCCAUAUCAAGAGAGCUUAGUUCUGAUGGCAGAUCUUCUCCAAAAAAAAAUGGAAGUACAAGAUACUUUACUGAAGCUAAUUACAUUGAGUUUUCUGAUGUCAAGGUUGUUACCCCAACAGGUAAUGUGUUGGUGGAGAAUCUGACUCUCAGGGUUGAAUCGGGAUCUAAUCUAUUGAUUACAGGUCCGAACGGCAGUGGAAAGAGCUCACUUUUCCGAGUUCUAGGGGGACUUUGGCCACUAGUUUCUGGCCAUAUUGCGAAGCCUGGGGUUGGGUCUGAUCUCAAUAAGGAGAUCUUCUAUGUACCACAAAGGCCUUAUACAGCUUUUGGAACACUUCGCGACCAGUUAAUUUAUCCUCUCACUGCAGAUCAAGAGGUUGAACCACUCACACAUAGUGGAAUGGUGGAGCUGUUGAAAAAUGUUGACCUUGAGUAUCUAUUAGACCGUUAUCCUCCUGAGAAAGAAAUUAAUUGGGGUGAUGAACUAUCUCUUGGAGAGCAACAAAGGUUGGGGAUGGCCAGAUUAUUUUAUCAUAAGCCUAAAUUUGCAAUUCUUGAUGAGUGCACGAGUGCUGUAACGACUGAUAUGGAAGAGCGCUUUUGUGCCAAAGUUCGAGCUAUGGGUACUUCAUGCAUAACAAUAUCUCAUCGUCCAGCUCUAGUUGCUUUUCAUGAUGUGGUUUUAUCCUUGGAUGGUGAAGGGGGCUGGCGUGUUCACUACAAGAGGGACGAUUCUCCAGAUUUAACACAAGGCAGCAGCAAUGCAUUGAAGUCUUCUGAGACGAACCGCCAAACUGAUGCAAUGGCUGUUCAACAUGCAUUUAUGAAUACUGGGAAGGGUCUGGAAUUUUCAAAUUCAAGAGCACAAUCGUACGUUUCUGAGGUGGUGGCUGCAUCUCCUCACAUGGAUUGUGGAGCACCAUUGUCUGUCAUUCCACAGCUCAAAAGCACUCCAAUGGUAUUGCCCUUGAGAGUAGCUGCUAUGUCUAAAAUACUGGUACCGACUGUAUUUGACAAACAAGGGGCACAACUACUUGCAGUUGCUUUCCUUGUGGUAUCAAGGACCUGGGUUUCAGACCGGAUUGCCUCAUUGAAUGGUACUACUGUAAAGUAUGUUUUGGAGCAGGACAAGGCAUCCUUCAUUAGGUUGAUCGGUAUUAGUGUUCUUCAAAGUGCUGCGUCUUCUUUUAUCGCUCCUUCGUUAAGGCACUUGAAAGCCAGACUGGCCCUUGGAUGGAGAAUUCGUUUGACUCAACAUUUACUGAAGAACUAUUUGAGAAAGAACACAUUUUACAAGGUCUUCCACAUGUCACGCAAAAAUGUCGAUGCAGAUCAAAGAAUAACUCAUGAUUUGGAUAAGUUAACAACUGACUUAUCUGGAUUGGUUACUGGAAUGGUAAAACCGUCUGUUGACAUCAUAUGGUUCACUUGGAGAAUGAAACUGUUAACUGGUCGGAGGGGAGUUGUUAUACUGUAUGCUUAUAUGCUGCUUGGUCUGGGUUUUCUAAGAACUGUAACUCCUGAUUUGGGUGAAUUGACCGGUCGGGAACAAGAACUUGAAGGAACUUUCAGGUUCAUGCAUGAAAGACUUCGCACUCAUGCUGAAUCUGUUGCUUUCUUUGGAGGUGGGGCUCAUGAGAAAGCUAUGGUUGAGUCAAGAUUCAGGGGACUUCUUCAACAUUCAAUGUUACUUCUAAAGAAGAAAUGGCUGUUUGGCAUACUAGAUGAUUUUGUCACAAAGCAGCUCCCACAUAAUGUGACUUGGGGCUUGAGUUUGUUAUAUGCCGUGGAACACAAGGGAGACCGAGCCUUGAGCUCCACUCAAGGUGAGCUGGCACAUGCAUUGAGGUUCUUAGCAUCUGUUGUAUCUCAAAGCUUUUUGGCCUUUGGAGAUAUUCUUGAAUUGCACAGAAAGUUCCUUGAGCUCUCUGGAAGCAUCAACCGAGUUUUUGAGCUUGAAGAGCUUUUGGAUGCUGCUCAAUCUGGGGAUUCAGUCACUAAUGGUCUCUUCUCAUCCGGAAAGAGCAAUCUUUACGCAGAAGAUGCUAUCUCCUUUGCCGAGGUGGAUAUCAUUACACCAGCGCAGAAGAUGUUGGCCAGGCAGUUGACGUGUGACAUAGUGCCUGGGAAAAGCUUACUUGUUACUGGUCCAAAUGGGAGUGGGAAAAGUUCUGUUUUCCGUGUCCUGAGAGGUCUUUGGCCGGUCAUUAGUGGAAGGCUUACCAAACCAUCCCAACGUACUGAAGAGACUGGUUAUGACAUAUUCUAUGUCCCUCAGCGACCAUACACGUGCUUAGGAACCUUGAGAGAUCAAAUUAUUUAUCCUCUCUCUCGCGAAGAAGCAGAACUAGUGGCAUUAAAGUUAUAUGGAAAAGGGCAACAAUAUGCCGACUCUACAAACCUUCUGGAUGCACAUUUAAAAACUGUUCUGGUGAAUGUUCGAUUAAAUUAUCUUUUAGAGAGAGGGGAAGAUGGUUGGGAUGCUAAUCUCAACUGGGAAGACAUGCUCUCUCUGGGAGAGCAACAAAGAUUAGGCAUGGCACGACUAUUCUUUCACAAGCCUAAAUUUGGCAUCCUUGAUGAGUGCACCAACGCCACCAGUGUUGAUGUUGAGGAGCAACUUUAUAGACUUGCUACUGAUAUGGGCAUAACAGUUGUUACGUCCUCACAGCGUCCAGCUUUAAUACCAUUUCAUUCCAUGGAGUUGCGGUUUAUUGAUGGGGAGGGAAACUGGGAGCUUCGUUUAAUUAAGCAGUGAUUAGCUAUGGAAUCGGCAUUGUACUACCCCUCUGUACAUGCUAUUACAACGCUGACUCUUACACAUGAAGCUGUGGACAAGUCAUACUAGAGUCACACAAAUUCAGUGCAAUUGAUUCAUCUUAACAUAAAUCUUCAUUUGCUGAUAUUUCUCUCCAAAUUCAAGUAGAUUGAGAUGGAGAUGCCAUCCUAUCCGUACCCCGAAGCUAGCCAUUUUGACAUGCUACAAGUUGCCGUUAUUUCCAGCAACGCUUAUGGAUGAAAAGGAGAAGUCAAUCCACAUCAGGAGCAUAGAAGUAAUUUGAAAGCUGCGUGUCCGUUGUGGGAGCGUGGGAUUUUGCCAGGAUAAAUCGUGCGCCUCCCCCUUUAUGAGGUCAUGGGUUUAUGUUGAGUUAGAAAUUCGCGUGUCCGCUGUUAGAGCGUGCGACCCUCCUCAACAUCAAAUUAAUUAUGCUCUGGGGGCUGUGGGCUCAUGCCGGAGCCUCGUUGGGCCUAGACCUAGUGGUGCGGGUUGUUCGUGGCUUGAGGUUUACACCUGCUCAACCAUCCAAAGAGCAUGUUGCGUUAGAUAAUUUCUCGGUUAAAAAAAUUGAAGGGAUUCGUCUUUUCAUUGAAGGCGCUAGCAAUAGUAACCAACGUUACGAGGAAGAUCAAUAGUCAUUGUUCAUCCUCCCACAUGGUGUGGGUUGUUUUGGUGGUCGGAUAAUGAGGAAUAUCAAUAGUCAUCGUUCAUCCAACGUGGUGAGAAUAAUGUUCUACAGUUCUGGGGUGAAUGAUGUUGGAAGACAUUAUUGGCAUAUGAAGAGUAAUGCCAAUGUUUGUUGGAUGAUGUUGGAAAGCAUAAUUAUCCUGCUAACGUGUUAAUCACAAUUCUCAUCUCUCCUAAUAAAUCAACAAACUUUUUGGCUAAAC